rnacentral:lncRNA from 1 species
AGUUAGAUGAGAUAAAUGAACCAUAAACCCAUAAGAAAGAAAAGAAAAAAAAAAAACCUCAUGGUUACAUUUAAUUUUAUGUUCUAGUGGCUAAUCUCUUGAUUUGGAGCCAAAAGGAAUAGAGAGAAGGUUGUCACGUCUUUAAACUCUGACUUGCUGGUGUUUUCUCUAAUUUGAAUGGCAGUAAGGUUUAGAAUAUUACAUUAAAGUCUACAACAAAUCUUGACCCUUGGGACUUGUUUGCUUCACACCACUGUUUAAUUUUGUGGUGUUACACUCUUUUUGCCUGCAACUGGUGGAGCCUGCAGGAGGGGACUCUGGUGUCCCUUUGCACUGUGUUAUCACCAAAGUGUGGUCGGGGAAAAUCUUAUCAAUAUGUAAGGGUAAAGACCUCUCCCUAGUGCAGAAGAAAUUGAAUAUGCAGUGAACCAAGAUCAUCAGUGAAAAGACUCAAAUGCUUUGAGUUUUUUCUUCCACAGGUCUAUCUUUCAGUCAAGUGAUCAGUGGCAAAAGGAGACGAACAGACCAAACAACCGCAGGGAGAAAGUUCUUGGAAGGAAACCAGAGAAGAGUGGCUUUUUUUUCAUAGACAAAGCAGUACAAAGUGAGCCAAGAGGUCUCAGAGGAACAGAUCCCAGACUUCUGAAUUCCCAUGCGUGAAAAAAUAUUACCUCUUGUUUCCGUCUGUGCCUGUUUUGUGGACACAGAUUUUCUUUCGUUUUCACAUGGAUGAGCAAUUAUAAGGCUUGCUCCUAUCCACAAGCCUUACAUCUUCCUGUAAGCGGGCUUUGUUUGCUAGUGUUAGAGAUUUGGCAGAAAUAAUCAUGGUUGGACCACACCUUCACCAUUCUCCAGUGAGUUCUGCUCGAAGCUGAGAAGUUGGACAGGGAGCUCAGUCAGCCAGGAGGUGGAGCAGCUUGCCUCCUCAGCACGGUGCUGAGAAGAAAGCCUGGGCGGUUAGCAGAGUUUUUCUGUUUUAUGAAGCAGUUAUAGAUUUUUAAUUUUUUUUUUUUUUUUUUUUUUAACCCCGUG